UACGAAGGGUGCUAGCGUUGCUCGGAAUCACUGGGCGUAAAGCGCACGUAGGCGGCUUUUUAAGUCAGGGGUGAAAUCCUGGAGCUCAACUCCAGAACUGCCUUUGAUACUGAGAAGCUUGAGUCCGGGAGAGGUGAGUGGAACUGCGAGUGUAGAGGUGAAAUUCGUAGAUAUUCGCAAGAACAUCAGUGGCGAAGGCGGCCUGCUGGGCUGUUGCUGACGCUGAGGCGCGAAAGCGUGGGGAGCAAACAGG
rnacentral:rRNA from 1 species